GUUCAGGGGUAAACCUGAGAAACCCAAAAGAUCGAAUGAGGAGAUUCAUCGUCAGCUCAUUUUGUAUAUGUAUAAGUUAUGAUGUGNNAGUUACUCUUNNGUAGUAUUGCUNUGUACAUACUUGUGCAUUUAUUUGCAAGAUGUUGUCGGCGUGCACUUCUCCUCUAGUAGGACGUCGCGACCCGUUGGGUGUUGGUCUACGACCCGAGNUGGGAGACUUUAAUGUUNNUUANNUAAUAUUAAAGACCCUUGGUGUUNUUCUGACCGGCUGCCCGGCGGUACUCGUACGGUAUUUAGCCGCAUNUUNANNNUUUGCGUCCAUGUCCAUCGCAAGCGAGGCUAAUUUCUGGUAGUNGCGGACCUGGUGCCGUCGCUGGAGUUGGCCAGCUGUUGGUUGUNAUGGAAUUCUAGGACUGGCUAAAAANUAAUNNUACCGGUCGGCGAUGCUACUGCUUUGGGUACUUUCAGGACCCGUCUUGAAACACGGACCAAGGAGUCUAACAUGUGCGCGAGUCA
rnacentral:rRNA from 1 species